rnacentral:rRNA from 1 species
UCCGCAGGUGGUCGUUCAAGUCUGUUGUCAAAGCGUGGAGCUUAACUCCAUACCGGCAAUGGAAACUGAAUGACUAGAGUACAGUAGGGGUUGCGGGAAUUCCCAGUGUAGCGGUGAAAUGCGUAGAGAUCUGGAGGAAUACCGAUUGCGAAGGCAGCCCCCUGGACAGUGACUGACGCUCAUAUGCGAAAGCGUGGGGAUCAAACAGGAUUAGAUACCCGCGUA